rnacentral:rRNA from 1 species
GGAUUAGAUACCCUGGUAGUCCACGCCGUAAACGAUGAGUGCUAGGUGCUGGAACUUCGGUUUCGGUGCCGCAGCUAACGCAUUAAGCACUCCGCCUGGGGAGUACGGCCGCAAGGUUAAAACUCAAAGGAAUUGACGGGGACCCGCACAAGCGGUGGAGCAUGUGGUUUAAUUCGAAGCAACGCGAAGAACCUUACCAGCUCUUGACAUGUCCGUCGCGGUUAGCAGAGAUGCUGACCUUCAGCUUGGCUGGACGGAACACAGGUGUUGCAUGGCUGUCGUCAGCUCGUGCUG